GUUCUACGAGCGAGUGUCUGGAGCCCGAAUGCAUGCUGCUUAUAUCCGGCCAGGAGGAGUGCACCAGGACCUACCCCUUGGGCUUAUGGAUGACAUUUAUCAGUUUUCUAAGAACUUCUCUCUUCGACUUGAUGAGUUGGAGGAGUUGCUGACCAACAAUAGGAUCUGGCGAAAUCGGACAAUUGACAUUGGGGUUGUAACAGCAGAAGAAGCACUUAACUAUGGUUUUAGUGGAGUGAUGCUUCGGGGCUCAGGCAUCCAGUGGGACCUGCGGAAGACCCAGCCCUAUGAUGUUUACGACCAGGUUGAGUUUGAUGUUCCUGUUGGUUCUCGAGGGGACUGCUAUGAUAGGUACCUGUGCCGGGUGGAGGAGAUGCGCCAGUCCCUGAGAAUUAUCGCACAGUGUCUAAACAAGAUGCCUCCUGGGGAGAUCAAGGUUGAUGAUGCCAAAGUGUCUCCACCUAAGCGAGCAGAGAUGAAGACUUCCAUGGAGUCACUGAUUCAUCACUUUAAGUUGUAUACUGAGGGCUACCAAGUUCCUCCAGGAGCCACAUAUACUGCCAUUGAGGCUCCCAAGGGAGAGUUUGGGGUGUACCUGGUGUCUGAUGGCAGCAGCCGCCCUUAUCGAUGCAAGAUCAAGGCUCCUGGUUUUGCCCAUCUGGCUGGUUUGGACAAGAUGUCUAAGGGACACAUGUUGGCAGAUGUCGUUGCCAUCAUAGGUACGAGGCCUAUUGUGUAGUAGAGGUAUCCUAGACAAAGGAGUUCGGGACACCCACUGGGGACAGAAGGAGAACACUUCCUGUUCACCAUAGGCCAUGGCAUGGACUCGGGUCCUCAAUCUUUUGAGCACAGUAAUGGGUUCUGGAUCUUGGGUAACACCACUUUUUUUGUUUGUUUUGCCUCACAACAGGAAGAUAAGUAACAUCACUUUUUUCCUCCAUCCUCUCACCUAGGUACCCAAGAUAUUGUAUUUGGAGAAGUAGAUCGGUGAGCAGGGGAGCAGCGUUUGAUCCCCCCUGCCUAUCAGCUUCUUCUGUGGAGCCUGUCCCUCACUGGAAAUUGGCCUCUGUGUGUGUGUGUGUGUGUGUGUGUGUGUGUGUAUGUUCAUGUACACUUGGCUGUCAGGCUUUCUGUGCAUGUACUAAAAAAGGAGAAAUUAUAAUAAAUUAGCCGUCUUGCGGCCCCUAGGCCUAAA
rnacentral:sRNA from 1 species